rnacentral:tRNA from 1 species
CAGAAAAUAGUUUAAUUAAAAUACUAGUUUUGGGGAUUAGAGAUAAGUUUUACCGCACUUUUUUUUGA